UGGGGAAUAUUGGGCAAUGGGCGAAAGCCUGACCCAGCAACGCCGCGUGAAGUAUGAAGGCCUUCGGGUUGUAAACUUCUUUGAUCAGGGAAGAAACAAAUGACGGUACCUGAAAAACAAGCCACGGCUAACUACGUGCCAGCAGCCGCGGUAAUACGUAGGUGGCGAGCGUUAUCCGGAUUUACUGGGUGUAAAGGGCGUGCAGGCGGGCUGAUAAGUCAGAUGUGAAAUCCCCGAGCUUAACUCGGGAACUGCAUCUGAUACUGUUGGUCUUGAGUGCUGGAGAGGAUAGUGGAAUUCCUAGUGUAGCGGUAAAAUGCGCAGAUAUUAGGAGGAACACCAGUGGCGAAGGCGACUAUCUGGACAGUAACUGACGCUGAGGCGCGAAAGCGUGGGUAGCAAACAGG
rnacentral:rRNA from 1 species